rnacentral:rRNA from 1 species
UAGGGAAUCUUCGGCAAUGGACGAAAGUCUGACCGAGCAACGCCGCGUGAGUGAAGAAGGUUUUCGGAUCGUAAAACUCUGUUGUUAGAGAAGAACAAGGACGUUAGUAACUGAACGUCCCCUGACGGUAUCUAACCAGAAAGCCACGGCUAACUACGUGCCAGCAGCCGCGGUAAUACGUAGGUGGCAAGCGUUGUCCGGAUUUAUUGGGCGUAAAGCGAGCGCAGGCGGUUUCUUAAGUCUGAUGUGAAAGCCCCCGGCUCAACCGGGGAGGGUCAUUGGAAACUGGGAGACUUGAGUGCAUAAGAGGAGAGUGGAAUUCCAUGUGUAGCGGUGAAAUGCGUAGAUAUAUGGAGGAACACCAGUGGCGAAGGCGGCUCUCUGGUCUGUAACUGACGCUGAGGCUCGAAAGCGUGGGGAGCAAACAGG